UACGUAGGGUGCGAGCGUUGUCCGGAAUUAUUGGGCGUAAAGAGCUCGUAGGCGGUGUGUCACGUCGGCCGUGAAAACCUGCAGCUUAACUGUGGGCGUGCGGUCGAUACGGGCAUCACUGGAGUUCGGUAGGGGAGACUGGAAUUCCUGGUGUAGCGGUGAAAUGCGCAGAUAUCAGGAGGAACACCGAUGGCGAAGGCAGGUCUCUGGGCCGAUACUGACGCUGAGGAGCGAAAGCGUGGGGAGCGAACAGG
rnacentral:rRNA from 1 species